rnacentral:rRNA from 1 species
ACGGAAGGCAGCAGUGGGGGAUAUUGCACAAUGGGGGAAACCCUGAUGCAGCGACGCCGCGUGAGUGAAGAAGUAUUUCGGUAUGUAAAGCUCUAUCAGCAGGAAAGAUAAUGACGGUACCUGACUAAGAAGCACCGGCUAAAUACGUGCCAGCAGCCGCGGUAAUACGUAUGGUGCAAGCGUUAUCCGGAUUUACUGGGUGUAAAGGGAGCGCAGACGGCAUGGCAAGCCAGAUGUGAAAGGCAGGGGCUCAACUCCUGGACUGCAUUUGGAACUGUCAAGCUAGAGUAUCGGCGAGGUAAGUGGAAUUCCUAGUGUAGCGGUGAAAUGCGUAGAUAUUAGGAGGAACACCAGUGGCGAAGGCGGCUUACUGGACGAUAACUGACGUUGAGGCUCGAAAGCGUGGGGAGCAAACAGGAUUAGAUACCCUGGUA